rnacentral:rRNA from 1 species
GAUGAACGCUGGCGGCGUGCCUAAUACAUGCAAGUCGAGCGAACAGACCAGGGGCUUUCUCUUCUCACGUUAGCGGCGGACGGGUGGGUAACACGUGGAUAACCUACCUAUAAGACUGGGAUAACUUCGGGAACCCGGAGCUAAUACCGGAUAAUAUAUUGAACCGCAUGGUUCAAUAGUGAAAGACGAUUUUGCUGUCACUUAUAGAUGGAUCCGCGCCGCAUUAGCUAGUUGGUAAGGUAACGGCUUACCAAGGCAACGACGCGUAGCCGACCUGAGAGGGUGAUCGGCCACACUGGAACUGAGACACGGUCCAGACUCCUACGGGAGGCAGCAGUAGGGAAUCUUCCGCAAUGGGCGGAAGCCUGACGGAGCCACGCCGCGUGGGUGAUAAAGGUCUUGGGAUCGUAAAACUCUGUUAUUAGGGAAGAACAAUAGUGUAAGUAACUAUGCACUUCUUGACGGUACCUAAUGAGAAAGCCCCGGCUAACUACGUG